UGCGUAGGUGGUCGGGUAAGUCUGGUGUGAAAUCUCCGAGCUCAACUCGGAAAUGGCAUUGGAUACUAUUCGGCUGGAGGGUUGGGAGGGGGGACGUGGAAUUCUUGGUGUAGCAGUGAAAUGCGUAGAUAUCAAGAGGAACACCAGUGGCGAAGGCGAGUCCCUGGACAACUCCUGACACUGAGGCACGAAAGCUAGGGGAGCAAACA
rnacentral:rRNA from 1 species